GCGACCUACGGGGGGCAGCAGUGAGGAAUAUUAGUCAAUGGGCGCGAGCCUGAACCAGCCAAGUAGCGUGAAGGAUGACUGCCCUAUGGGUUGUAAACUUCUUUUAUAUGGGAAUAAAAUGUUCCACGUGUGGGAUUUUGUAUGUACCAUAUGAAUAAGGAUCGGCUAACUCCGUGCCAGCAGCCGCGGUAAUACGGAGGAUCCGUGCGUUAUCCGGAUUUAUUGGGUUUAAAGGGAGCGUAGGUGGAUUGUUAAGUCAGUUGUGAAAGUUUGCGGCUAAACCGUAAAAUUGCAGUUGAAACUGG
rnacentral:rRNA from 1 species